rnacentral:rRNA from 1 species
GAGUUUGAUCGUGGCUCAGAUUGAACGCUGGCGGCAUGCCUUACACAUGCAAGUCGAACGGCAGCAUGAUCUAGCUUGCUAGAUUGAUGGCGAGUGGCGAACGGGUGAGUAAUACAUCGGAACGUGCCCUGUAGUGGGGGAUAACUAGUCGGAAGAUUAGCUAAUACCGCAUACGACCUGAGGGUGAAAGUGGGGGACCGCAAGGCCUCGAUGCUAUAGGAGCGGCCGAUGUCUGAUUAGCUAGUUGGUGGGGUAAAGGCCCGACCAAGGCGACGAUCAGUAGCUGGUCUGAGAGGACGAUCAGCCACACUGGGACUGAGACACGGCCCAGACUCCUACGGGAGGCAGCAGUGGGGAAUUUUGGACGAAUGGGCGAAAGCCUGAUCCAGCAAUGCCGCGUGUGUGAAGAAGGCCUCGG